UACGUAUGGUGCGAGCGUUGUCCGGAAUUAUUGGGCGUAAAGGGCUCGUAGGCGGUUUGUCGCGUCGGGAGUGAAAACUCAGGGCUUAACCCUGAGCCUGCUUCCGAUACGGGCAGACUAGAGGUAUGCAGGGGAGAACGGAAUUCCUGGUGUAGCGGUGAAAUGCGCAGAUAUCAGGAGGAACACCGGUGGCGAAGGCGGUUCUCUGGGCAUUACCUGACGCUGAGGAGCGAAAGUGUGGGGAGCGAACAGG
rnacentral:rRNA from 1 species